rnacentral:misc_RNA from 1 species
UCAAACUUGGUCAUUUAGAGGAAGUAAAAGUCGUAACAAGGUCUCCGUUGGUGAACCAGCGGAGGGAUCAUUACCGAGUUUACAACUCCCAAACCCUUUGUGAACAUACCAUAUCGUUGCUUCGGCGGGACCGCCCCGGCGCCUUCGCGCGCCGGAACCGGGCGCCCGCCGGGGGCCCGAAACUCUUGCCUUUUUCAGCGGAAUUCUUCUGAGUGGCACAUAAGCAAAAAAUGAAUCAAAACUUUCAACAACGGAUCUCUUGGUUCUGGCAUCGAUGAAGAACGCAGC